rnacentral:rRNA from 1 species
UUAGGCGGAUUUAUCUGCCGCUCAUGGAUGGGCCUGCGGUGCAUUAGCUAGUUGGUGAGAUAGUAGCUCACCAAGGCGACGAUGCAUAGCCGACCUGAGAGGGUGAUCGGCCACACUGGGACUGAGACACGGCCCAGACUCCUACGGGAGGCAGCAGUAGGGAAUCUUCCGCAAUGGACGCAAGUCUGACGGAGCAACGCCGCGUGAGUGAUGAAGGGUUUCGGCUCGUAAAACUCUGUUGUUAAGGAAGAAUACUUGAGGUAGUAACUGGCCCUGAGAUGACGGUA